UACCCAGUGUCCGCCGGGUGUCCUGGAUCCACUUCCUGGAUACCCAGUGUCCGCCGGGUGUCCUGGAUCCACUUCCUGGAUAUCCAGUGUCCGCCGGGUGUCCUGGAUCCACUUCCUGGAUACCCAGUGUCCGCCGGGUCUCCUGGUUCACUUCCUGGAUGCCCAGUGUCCACCAGGUCUCCUGGAUUCUGCCUAUGUCCACGUGAGGGCACCAUCAAUUUCCUGCAAGGAUCCUAAGAGAGUCAAGGUGAGGAGAUGCCUGAAGGACAGGAGGCACUCACAGGAGGCCCUGGAGACAGAUGUGCCCCACAGGCAUUCCUGAGGACCUGCGGCCUGGCAGCACGGAGACUCUGGGUGAAAACAGAACCUUGUGAUCUGCAAGUUCUGCCGCUGCCCUGUCUGUGUCUGUGAAGCAGUGUCCAGAAGGGGCCCGCAUGGAAGCUUCUGAGAGCAGUUAGGGGAAGGGGGCCCCACGUCCUCCCCGGAGGGCUGGAGAGGGAGGCAGGCUGUGUCCCCAGUUCAGUCGGGAGGAGGCCGGCAGGCGGCAGCUGUGGAGAGGAGGCGGAGCCCCCCAACUCCUGAGCCAGCAGAGGAAGGAGUGGGACAAAGCCAGCCCCAGAGGGAGACAAGACCCCGGGGAAGAGACCCCUCAGGGCGGCCCCCCAGCUCCCCCCCAGGCUUAGCUUUCAGCCUGCACCCCCAUCUGGUCCCUCAGAAUGAUUGAGGUUUCCACUCUUUUUCUGUCAGAUCUCUAGACUCCAUGUCCCCGCUCUGCCACCUACUCUGUGUGGGAUCUGAAUAAAGAGACUUAACCUUU